rnacentral:rRNA from 2 species
GACGAACGCUGGCGGUGUGCUUAACACAUGCAAGUCGAACGGUAAGGCCCUUUCGGGGGUACACGAGUGGCGAACGGGUGAGUAACACGUGAGUAACCUGCCCUCAUCUCUGGGAUAACAGUCGGAAACGGUUGCUAAUACUGGAUAUGAGCUUGCAAGGCAUCUUGUGGGUUGGAAAGAUUUUUUGGUUGGGGAUGGACUCGCGGCCUAUCAGCUUGUUGGUGAGGUAGUGGCUCACCAAGGCUUCGACGGGUAGCCGGCCUGAGAGGGCGACCGGCCACAUUGGGACUGAGAUACGGCCCAGACUCCUACGGGAGGCAGCAGUGGGGAAUAUUGCACAAUGGACGGAAGUCUGAUGCAGCAACGCCGCGUGCGGGAUGACGGCCUUCGGGUUGUAAACCGCUUUCAAUUGUGACGAAGCUUUUUGUGACGGUAGCAUAGAAGA